AUGCUAAUGAUAUGCAAAGCUAGCCACAAGCUUGGGGAAGCUAUGUUUGAUGAAUAUGAUAUUUUUUGUCCCCCAAGUUUUGAUGAGCAAAUUUAUUAUGAUGAAAGCAUGCCUCCUAUUUAUGAUGAUUAUAUUAAUGAAAGUGGAUUUGGAGAGGUCAUGACUUUAUUUAGUAAUGAUUCCACUAUUUCGGAAGAGGUUCCAAUUGAUUAUGAGAACAAAGUUGCUAUCUAUGAUGAUUAUUGUGAUGACUUGUAUGCUAUUAAAAAUAAUGAUAACCAUGAAACUUGUCAUCUUGAUUUUAAUUUUUAA
rnacentral:rRNA from 1 species